rnacentral:lncRNA from 1 species
AAUAAUAUAUAUUAUAUUAAUUUAACCCCAGAAAUAGGGGAUUCAUAUCCGAGUACAAGUUCAAAUUGAAAAAAAAAAAUCUAAGUCAAUGUAUUACAAAACCGGCUUUACCCACCCACUAAACCCGACACGUUCCACCAGCACGUUUUUAAAAUUCUUAGGUAUCGGCUAUCGUUCUCAACCAACGACAAUGUCCAUAGAUAUGUGAGGUUCUCCUUGUUGCCUCGGAUGUGACCAUUCAUGUCAUCUCCGGAGUAGCUAGCUCCCCGUGAACGCCUCAUGGCUUGUAAUAAUCUCUGACUUUAAGCUCGAAGGCAAUGUAGAAGAGGGUUAAAGAAUACAGACCUUUGAAAAUUGCUCAAUAACCGGCUGCACAGCUUCUACAACACUGAACCGCCCACAAACAAAGAGACCGAACGGACCUCUAAUCCGACAACGUAGAAACAAGAAAGCGGAUACGGGACAACUGCUGCUAAAUGAAACCGAACAAUGCUCCAUGACCUGCAAAAGGUUUAGCGGUAACAUUACCAUGAGAAGGUUGCUCACGGCACCGGGAUAUGCUACAUGCCGAUUGAGCCACUGAUAAGAGAAAACUACUCAGACUACAAGAAGCCUCCUUUUAAAACGCCAAUAACCGGCUGCAUAGCUUCUACAACACUGAACCGCCCACAUACAAAGAGACCGAACGGACCUCUAAUCCGAGAAUGUAGAAACAAGAAAGCGGAUACGGAACAACUGCUGCUAAAUGAAACCGAACACUGCUCCAUGCCCUGCAAAAGCUUUAGCGGUAACAUUACCAUGAGAAGGUUGCUCACGGCACCGGGAUAUGCUACAUGCCGAUUGAGCCACUGAUGAGAGAAAACUACUCAGACCACAAGAAGCCAUCUUUUAAAACGCCAAUCACCAUCUCCGAGGACUGAAGGGAGGUAUGCUUGUACUGUCAAACGAUGUACCAGUGGCAUAGUACAAACCCCACGAACAACCAGAGCUUCGAGAGGCUAAGUUGACUAAGCUCAACCAAAUGACAGAAAAGAUUAUCUGGGAAGAGGAAGAAAAUUAUAAGGGUGAGACCGCGCCGCCUCAGAGGAGACAUAGACAACUACCGCCAACACCACAGCACCACCACAACCACGAACCAAAACCACAAGACCCGACACACACCAGCAACUCGGGCAAAGCCCGCAUCUGAGCAAAACGGAAAAUCCAUAACUCGCAAGACAAGCAAAGUCAGAACACUCUGCUUCCGAGACACCAAGGAAGAGAAGACGAUACCGCUUCAACCUGCCACUCACCCGCCGCCGACCAAACAGUACGAUACUGAAACCGGAGCAGAAGAUGAGAAAAACCACCACCUUCACGCGCUGCUGUCACUAUAGGAAGCUAAAGGGGCCUCCUGCCAAACCCUAAGAGCCGACUUCACCGAGAGAGACCGUACCCAACCCGGGUCUAGUCUCAAUCACCUGGUUGAAACACACCGACCCGGAGCUUCUCACGUGCGAAGACAAAGCCAGCGGGUCUCCAGAGCAGAGAACCGAACAAGACGAGAAGUGUGGAGGAGACCAGAGUGAAUCAAAGGAAAAACAAUAGGAUAGAGAAGAAGGGGGUCGCCGCCGGCCCCGGGAAGGACUCUCACGCACCCGUCCGGAGGCCGUGGCUACCCAGAUCUGAGAUUUUCUUUUUGCGUUGCGAGAGAGAGAUAGGGUGGGGAGAGAACCUUGUGUCUUUUUUUCUUAUAACUAGAUAGUUGACAAAAAAAAUACGAUUAUAAUCAUUUCUUAAAAAGA